CCCAGACCUCACUUAAAGGCUGUCAGUAGAGGUGAGGGCAUCUCUUGUUGGAGAUCCCUGCUUACCUGAGGCCUUCCAAAGAUCCUGUUUUCUUGCACUUUGUACAUCACAAUAUUAUCAUGGGUAAAAUGAAGAGUGUUUCUCAGAAGUAUGCCUUGUGAUUUCUGGCCUGCUCAGACUGCCUGCUUCUUCCAGAUGAGAUGAUGUGACAAAUAAAUACUUAAGAUCUCUGAGAAGUACUCUGCCAUGAGUCUCCCCAGCAGAAGACAGGGUCAGGGGACCUGGCUGUGCCCAUUCCCUGUUUGCACCACAUUAGGAACUGCCUGGGGUCUGCUGGGCCUGACCCAUACCACCUCUCCAAAUCCCAUGAUCUGAAGAGGAAGGGCAAUGUGAUGCUUCAGGGAGUGACCAGAAUUCUGGCUCCCAGCAUGAAUCCAAUGUCCUACGGGGUUCGCAGUGGUAAGGGCCCCUGCGAGGCAGAAUAAGAGUCAGCACUAGGGCCGGAAGAGUUUCUUGAGCGGAAGCAGCGCGAGAAGGGAGAACGCUCGCAAAGCACGGGG
ensembl:lncRNA